rnacentral:rRNA from 1 species
GCGUGCUUAACACAUGCAAGUGGAGCGACGAACCAGGGCUUGCCCUGGGGCAAAGCCGCGAACGGGUGAGUAACACGUGAGUAACCUGCCCCGAUGACCGGGACAACCCGNGGAAACUCGGGCUAAUACCGGAUGUGGUGCACAUUCUUAAGUUUGUGUACUAAAGGAAGCUUCGGCCUCCGCAUUGGGAGGGGCUCGCGGCCCAUUAGCUUGUUGGUGGGGUAACGGCCUACCAAGGCAACGAUGGGUAGCUGGUCUGAGAGGACGAUCAGCCACACUGGGACUGAGACACGGCCCAGACUCCUACGGGAGGCAGCAGUGGGGAAUCUUGCGCAAUGCGCGAAAGCGUGACGCAGCAACGCCGCGUGAGGGAAGACGGCCUUCGGGUUGUAAACCUCUUUCAGGAGGGACGAAGGUUCACCGGUUAAUAGCCGUGUGGAUUGACGGUACCUCCAGAAGAAGCUCCGGCUAACUACGUGCCAGCAGCCGCGGUAAUACGUAGGGAGCAAGCGUUGUCCGGAAUCAUUGGGCGUAAAGCGCGCGUAGGCGGCCUCAUAAGUCCGUUGUGAAAGUCAAAGGCUCA